UGGUUGGUUAGUAUAAGAGACC
rnacentral:misc_RNA from 1 species